CUGUAACAAGUGCACAGGCAAGGGCGCUAGCUGGUGGGAGCCACCCCGCCAUGCUGAUGUCAGAGAAGCAAGAACUCUGGAGAAGCAGCCUCCUGGGACCAGAGGAGGGCCAGCAGCAGGCAGCCCGGAGACAGAACUAAUGUGUCUGGGGGUGAGAGGACGGGUGUGACUGCUGAAACUUCCUUUCUUGGUGAUUCCACAUCACUCCUUUCUGAUCCCUGAGCCUGUGCCACGCCCUGUGUGAUGUGCCGGGGACACCAGGGCACAUGAAAGUGACUGUGACCCGCAACGGGAGCCUUGACAACCAGCCAAUUCAGAACACAGACCUUGACAUCGGAAGGCCCCGAGUUCAAAUCCUGCCUUGCUCCCUUUCAGCUGGAAAGCUGUGGUCAAAUUACUUAGCCUCUCCAAGCCAGUUUUCCCUUCUGCAAAAUGAGGUUACACAAGCUGCCACCUCACAGAAUGAGUCUCACCCACGCCUCUCCAAGCCUCCCAACAGAAGACAGAGGUCCCCCACAGCCAGAGACAUUUCCUGAAGACAUGGGGAACACAGAGGCAGAAACAGCCCAUCCACCCAGGAGCUGUCCCCCACACUGCCGGGAGCCGGCACCCAGAGCCGCCAGGUAAAACUGAGGCCACCUGGUUCAACAUCACCUUUCACAGAAGGGGAAGCAGCCACAGAAAGAAGGGCCUCGUUAAGAAGUGGAACCUGGGACCCCCAAGCGGUGUCUCUCAUCCUGACUGGGGAUCCAGAGUAGGAGGGAGCCUUUGGUGGGACACAAAGGAACAGAACGAGGCACCAACAGCAAGGGGCAAGCAGAUUCAAGGGCCACAGAGGAGAUGGAGGCAAACACCUUCCCCUGGUCAGAGGCUGUGCCUCAGCCCUUCUCCCUGCAUCAGUUUCUCCUUCAGAAGCAUGGGACUACCUCCCAUCUAGUUCUCGUUUCUAAACCUAGGGGAGAUGCUAUCUUUGCUGCAAUAAUCUUAGCCUACAUCUUGGAAUGGAAAUGGCCUUGGUGGAAAUGGUCUUCAACUCCUCUGGUCCAAGCUCAGGCCCUGUGACCCUGGAACAAUCCCCUUCCUGGUCCUCCAUGUAGGAGCAAUAACAUUCCCUUGCCAGCAGCACCAGCCAUUCUGAUGAUUAAAUGGUAUCGGACUCUGUUUUCCAAACUCAGUCAUUCAGAUGCCCCCUAUUUUAUUUCUUCCAUGUCUGCAAAUGAUUAUAAUAUUUUUAAAUGUAGGAUGAGUCCUUUUUAUUACACAUAGAAAUAGCUACUGUAAAUAGCAAACUCUAACACUGUGCCUAAUUAGGAAAUAAAGGUAACCAUAAAUACAGUAAAAAUGAAACAA
ensembl:lncRNA CARMN cardiac mesoderm enhancer-associated non-coding RNA